rnacentral:rRNA from 1 species
GUGGGGAAUAUUGGACAAUGGGCGAAAGCCUGAUCCAGCAAUGCCGCGUGAGUGAAGAAGGCCUUCGGGUUGUAAAGCUCUUUUACCCGGGAAGAUAAUGACUGUACCGGGAGAAUAAGCCCCGGCUAACUCCGUGCCAGCAGCCGCGGUAAUACGGAGGGGGCUAGCGUUGUUCGGAAUUACUGGGCGUAAAGCGCACGUAGGCGGUCUUUUAAGUCAGAGGUGAAAGCCCGGGGCUCAACUCCGGAAUUGCCUUUGAAACUGGAAGAUUUGAACACGGGAGAGGUGAGUGGAAUUCCGAGUGUAGAGGUGAAAUUCGUAGAUAUUCGGAGGAACACCAGUGGCGAAGGCGGCUCACUGGACCGUUGUUGACGCUGAGGUGCGAAAGCGUGGGGAGCAAACAGGAUUAGAAACCCCAGUAGUCC